rnacentral:rRNA from 1 species
UACGUAGGCAGCGAGCGUUGUUCGGAGUUACUGGGCGUAAAGGGUGUGUAGGCGGUCCCUUAAGUUUGGUGUGAAAUCUCCCGGCUCAACUGGAGGGUGCGCCGGAUACUGAGGGGCUAGAGUGCGGGAAGGGAAAGUGGAAUUCCUGGUGUAGCGGUGAAAUGCGUAGAUAUCAGGAGGAACACCGGUGGUGCAAACGGCUUUCUGGACCGUAACUGACGCUGAGACACGAAAGCGUGGGGAGCAAACAGG